GAUGAAGAACGUAGCGAAAUGCGAUACGUAAUGUGAAUUGCAGAAUUCAGUGAAUCAUCGAAUCUUUGAACGCAUAUUGCGCUCUCUGGUAUUCCGGAGAGCAUGCUUGUUUGAGUAUCAGUAAACACCUCAACUUCCAUAUCUUUUUUGAAAUGGGAGUUGGACUUGAGUGAUCUCAACGCUUUUCCUCACCGAAAAGUGGCGGGUUACUUGAAAUGCAGGUGCAGCUGGACUUUUCUCUGAGCUAUAAGCAUAUCUAUUUAGUCUGCCUAAAAAACAGAUUAUUACCUUUGCUGCAGCUAACAUAAAGGAGAUUAGUUCUUGUGCUGACUGAUGCAGGAUUCACAAAGACGGCUUCGGCCGACUUUGUAAACUCGAUCUCAAAUCAAGUAAGACUACCCGCUGAACUUAAGCAUAUCAAUAAGCGGAGGA
rnacentral:misc_RNA from 1 species